UUUCGUGCCCAGCAGCCGCAGUAAUACGAAUGCGACCUAGCGUAGUUCGNNNUACUGGNCUAAAGAGUUCGUAGGUGGUUGAAAAAGUUGGUGGUGAAAUCCCCAGAGCUUAACUCUGGAACUGCCAUCAAAACUUUUCAGCUAGAGUAUGAUAGAGGAAAGCAGAAUUUCUAGUGUAGAGGUGAAAUUCGUAGAUAUUAGAAAGAAUACCAAUUGCGAAGGCAGCUUUCUGGAUCAUUACUGACACUGAGGAACGAAAGCAUGGGUAGCGACGAGGAUUAGAUACCCUCGUAGUCCAUGCCGUAAACGAUGUGUGUUAGACGUUGGAAAUUUAUUUUCAGUGUCGCAGUGAAAACGAUAAACACACCGCCUGGGGAGUACGACCGCAAGGUUAAAACUCAAAUGAAUUGACGGGGACCCGCACAAGUAGUGGAGCAUGUGGUUUAAUUCGAAGAUACGCGCAGAACCUUACCAACACUUGACAUGUUCGUCGCGACUUUAAGAGAUUAAAGUUUUCGGUUCGGCCGGACGAAACACAGGUGCUGCAUGGCUGUCGUCAGCUCGUGUCGUGAGAUGUUGGGUUAAGUCCCGCAACGAGCGCAACCCUCACUUUUAGUUGCCAUCAUUAAGUUGGGCACUCUGAAAGAACUGCCAGUGAUAAGCUGGAGGAAGGUGGGGAUGACGUCAAGUCCUCAUGGCCCUUACGUGUUGGGCUACACACGUGCUACAAUGGUAUCUACAACAGGAAGCAAAACGGCGACGUUAAGCAAAUCCUUAAAAGAUACCUCAGUUCGGAUUGCACUUUGCAACUCGAGUGCAUGAAGCUGGAAUUACUAGUAAUCGUGGAUCAGCGUGCCACGGUGAAUGCGUUCCCGGGUCUUGUACACACCGACCGUCACACCAUGGGAGUUGGUUCUACCUUAAGGCAAGGUUUAAAACCCUUGACUACGGUAUAGUCAGCGACUGGGGUGAAGUCGUAACAAGGUAACCGUA
rnacentral:rRNA from 1 species